GCCACCUUAGCUCAGUCGGUAGAGCAGCUCACUCGUAAUGAGCAGGUCAGGAGUUCGAUUCUCCUAGGUGGCUCCA
rnacentral:tRNA from 3 species